CCUGGAGGUCUUAAAAAGACAUUUAGAUGUAGAGCUUAGUGAUAUGGUUUCGUGGAGGACUUGUUAGUGUUAGGUCAGAGGUUGGACUAGGUGAUCUUGGAGGUCUCUUCCAACCUAGAUGAUUCUGCGAUUCUGAAAAUCCAGAAACAGUACAAUGCUUGGAAGAACUUAACCUGUGGAGGAGAAGGGCCGUCUCUUGUUAGGCAACAAGUUUGAAAGGCUGGUUUCCCCACCCCCCUGUGCAUUUUGAAGAAGGCAGUCUCUAAUCUGAUGCAAUCUAAAUGAAUCUAAGCUGUAGUUUGUUAUUUCCAUAAGCUGUAAAUGAACUUAAUGUGUUUUUUAAAUUGAGGCUUGUGUGCAUGCGUUUGGCUUGUCCCAAUAGCUGUUGUGGAUGAUGGCUCACGUGUCCAAAGACUCCUUGUGCUGAUGUUGGAUCUGUCCCUUGGUAAAGGAACGCAUCCCAUGUGUUCAGCUUUUCUUCCUUACCAUGUCGUAUUUAUUUAUUUGUUGUUCUGAAAGAAAGGGUGGAAUUUUCAUUUGUCUCUCUGUGAGCGUUUCUAAUCAGGCUGCUGUAAAUACAUGUAAGUGAGUAGGCUGCAGCGCAUACUGGACAGUAUCGGAGUGGUACUCUGCUAGCAGUGUAGAGCCAGGUGAAGGUGUCCAGGGUAAGGGCUUGUUCUGCCUCAAGUUGAACGGAAAGUUUGAGAAGUUGAGCAUCCCGGGGGAUGUUUGUAGGACUAUUGUUAGACAAUAAAAGUUCAGAUGGCUGUCGACGAAGGGGAUUUUGUUGGCUCUUUUAGAUAGCUGUUCCUGUCGAAGAUUGCAUUGGUCACAAAAGGUAGUAGUAACCUUGCAGUUUCUAUGUUCUGUAGCGUCUGUAGCAAAGUACACUGGCAGAUGAAUAAAUGAGCAGGUACAAAUACAUGUGACCCUAUAGCUGAGAUAAAAUAACGUGCAGCUUCUUCUUUGUCUUAUCUUUCAAAGCACGUUGUUGCUGAGCGACUGAGCUUUUUGCUCUUGUUACUGAGGAAAGGAAUGGCUGUGCUUCUUCCCCUCUCAUCCCUCUUUUUUUUUCUUUUUUUUUUGUUUUCUCUCCUCUUCUCCCUCGAUGACAGGGACUCGAAAUGUUUUCCUCAGAUGUCCACGUGAAAAUUAAAAAUUAAAGAAAUGCUGAUGGAGAGCACUGACAGAAUUGGGUGACAUUUUCAAGGUAGAGGAGGGCGAAGAAUGUGGAAAUUCCUAGUACGUCAGUGGUGCUCUGUUAACAAAACUGAUGUACACACCACUUGCUGUUUCUAAUUUUUUGGUUUGGUUUUCCUUUCAGUAGUCUCCCCAAAGACUUUUGUGGACACAUUGUGUAUCUUUUCUGUUCUUCCAGUAUUCAUCUGUCAGGAAAGACGACCAUGAAAUCCGAGGGCUGUGGACAACCAUCUACAAGGUGAAUAUUAGUUUAAUGUGCAGUUACUUCAGGCAGUUAUUCCACAACUGCCCAAAGCAGUGACAGUGAGAAGCCCACUUCCAGCAGCUGUUCCCAACGCAGGGAUGGAUGCAGGGAUGGAUGGACACUGUUCGAUGCCUUGCCCACCAGGGGAAGGGGAGAAUGACUGGGCAGGGAGCCCCACCGCAGCCCCCCCUCUCUCCUGGGAAUCCUGACAGCAGUUUAAUAAAGUUUGCUUUCUGGCCCGUGUC